rnacentral:rRNA from 1 species
AUGAACCAUUGGGUGUAAGAUGGUUGAAGGAAGAACAAGUCUUAGUCAAUAAGGUGCCCCUCCACGAUACCUACCAGAAAGCCUCGCAUCACUCCGUGUCAGCAGCCGCGGUCAUACGUAGGUGGCAAGCGUUGUCCGUAAUUAUUGGCGUAAAGCUUGCGCAGUCGGAUUGUUAAGUCUGAUGUGAAACCCCCGAGCUCAACCGGGGAGGGUCAUUGGAAACUGGGAAACUUGAGUGCAGAAGAGNAAAGUGGAAUUCCAAGUGUAGCGAGUGAAAUGCGUAGCGAUUUGGAGGAACACCAGUGUCGAAGGCGACUUUCUGGUCUGUACCUGACACUGAGGCGCGAAAGCGUGGGGAGCAACCAGGAUUAGAUACCCUGGUAGUCCACACUGUAAACGAUGAGUGCUAAGUGUUCGAGGGUUUCCGCCCUUUAGUCUUGAAGCUAACGCAUUAAGCACUCCGCUUGGGGAGUUCGGUCGCAAGACUGAAACUCAAAGGAAUUGCCGGGGGCCCGCCCAAGUGGUGGAUUCAUGUGGUUUAAUUCGAACCAACGCGAAGAACCUUAUCAUGGUCUUGACAUCCUCNGACAACCCUAGAG